rnacentral:rRNA from 1 species
CAGCAGCCGCGGGAAUACGGAGGGUGCAAGCGUUAAUCGGAAUUACUGGGCGUAAAGCGUGCGUAGGCGGUUCGUUAAGUCUGUUGUGAAAGCCCCGGGCUCAACCUGGGAAUGGCAAUGGAUACUGGCGAGCUAGAGUGUGUCAGAGGAUGGUGGAAUUCCCGGUGUAGCGGUGAAAUGCGUAGAGAUCGGGAGGAACAUCAGUGGCGAAGGCGGCCAUCUGGGACAACACUGACGCUGAGGCACGAAAGCGUGGGGAGCAAACAGGAUUAGAUACCCCGGUAGUCCCUGUCUCUUAUAC